UACAGAGGGGGCGAGCGUUGUUCGGAAUUACUGGGCGUAAAGGGCGCGUAGGCGGCCAACUAAGUCAGACGUGAAAUCCCUCGGCUCAACCGUGGAAGUGCCUCUGAUACUGCGGGCCUCGAGGGAGGUAGGGGCGUGCGGAACUUCCGGUGGAGCGGUGAAAUGCGUAGAUAUCGGAAGGAACACCGGUGGCGAAAGCGGCGCGCUGGACCUCUUCUGACGCUGAGGCGCGAAAGCCAGGGGAGCAAACGGG
rnacentral:rRNA from 1 species